CUCUCUCUAACUCAUCCCAUUCCCACGGUGCUCUGUGUACGUUUAUCCAUGCCUCGCGCCUCGCUCGCGUCGUGUGUGGCUCGCGUCAGCCACGACAAUGGCGGUGGCGGCGCCUCUUCUCCUUCCACCUCCAUCUCGACCCCCCGCGUCCGUGCGUCCUUUUGUCGCCGCCGUCGUAACCCCCAACCACCAUGGAAAGCACGACACGGUCAUGUGCAAGGCUGCCGGGAAGUCCAAGGCCAAGGCGAGCAAUCGCGGCGAGCGGCAGCAGAGGCGCACCCCACUCCACCACCGCCUUCGACGCCAACAUCUACGGUCGCCACACCAACGCCCACCACGUCCAUGUUUUGCCUCGCCGCCUUUCGCUGGCCCUGCCCGCUCCGCUCCUUCAUCGACUUCACCCACACUUGCUCGCUAGAUGAUGGAGGCGCACCCGGAGAUGGAGUUGUACAUUGGCAUGGACGUUGACCCCUCUGCGCUGGAGAUUGGUCGUGGGCACAUUGAGGCCUUGCUUGCCAGUAGGGAAGCGACUGGAGGGGAAGACGAUGCCCUGCAGGGGACACUGCGUGCCUACACUCACGUCAAGAACUUUAAAUAAAUCAUCAAGCAAGUUCUUGGUAGUGUGGACGAGAGCCUAGCAGUUGGCUCGUCUGGAAUUGAUGGCAUCCUCAUUGACCUUGGCAUGUCAUCCAUGCAGAUCAAAUAGGGGAUUCAGUGUGCUCCAGGGUGGUCCUCUUGAUAUGCGCAUGGACCCUAAGCUGCACCUGCAAAGAAUAUACAAUUACGAUGUUAGCAUCUAAUUCUAUCUUGGCGUUGAAUGGCUGCAGGGUUAAGGUUGGUGUCGUUAUGAAUGAAAUUAGUGCAUUACCUUCUCUAUAAACAGGUACAUUUCCUACCCAACAAAGCAUGCUUUCAAUUGUUUCUGAUAAGAUGUGACUCCAUAAUUUUUGCAUAUUUACCUGAAAUUUCAAUAAAACUGUGACACGUCCUAACUCAAUUUUGUAUGUUUGGUUGGUGCUAUCUUUUAAAUACUCAUGCUUCGAACAUGUGUAUGCAAAUGGACUACAAAAACUCAUAUAGGAAGAAAUCGUAGGGGAACAGAGAAUAAAAGGCCCAUCACUUAAAGGGCAGCAUGAAGUAUGCAUGAAUGAUUAGGCUUCUUAUCUUCAUGAAAAUGUAUAUAGCUGAACAAAAACCCGAUGAACUUCCAAAUUUGCUUGAGAAAAUUUGGUUACCACUUUUCCAAUAUAUUCUAAUGGAUUGAUAAUACUUCCAUUUACCAACUCAUAUUAAUGACAAUCCUAUUAAGUUUAUUGCCAGUUUUAAGUUCAUAAAAAUUUCAGUAGACUGCAUUUGUUUAGUCCAAUUACAACCUAUAACACAAAUAGUGCAUACUAAUUCUAUUUCUGUAGAUUAUUUCAUCUGCAUGUACAAAGGACUUUAAUGGCACUGUACCAAGGAUUAUUGAACUAUAUCCACAUUGUGGUCCUAUUUUUCAAGUGCAAAUAUCAAAGAACAUAGACACUUUAAUCCUAGAUUCUGGAUGGAAAUUAUUUGUUCAAGCACAUGAGUUAGCCCACAUAGAUAUGCUCGUAUUUAAAUAUGACAAUGAUUCUCGCUUUAAAGUUAUCAUCUUCGAACAAACCGGAGAUGAGAAGAUACCACCAUAUCUUCUACCAAAAAUUCAAUCUCCCCAUCAUGGACAGUGCUCCAAACAAACAGGUAAUAUACUAUACAUGAAUAUUUUUCAGUUUGAGAUUAUAAAAACAUAACAAUAUGAUGGUCAUCAAUCAAGGUCAAGAAGAUGAUAGUGACGCCAACUCAGCUGCAUAGAAGGAAUCUCUACUAUGUUUCUGUAUUAUAACCUACCUGUAAUAUGACCGUGUCGUUUCACGUGCUGUAACAUGAAUCUACCAUUCAUGUUUAUCUUCCUCCUGUUCUUACUCUGCCUGCUCACUAUUGUCAUGACAUUCCAGUGGUCCAGUCUCUUUUGAUUUGAUGUAUAAAUUGCAUUGUGUUUAGCCUUCUAUAGAAACAAAAUUAUCACACCAGCGAAACUUAUUUUGCCAUAUAUAUCUCUAGCAAAGCUGCUCUUGUAAUAGAACUGCAUAGCUGGUCAUUAUCCACUAAUAGUAGGUUAGAAGGUUUGCAGGUAUGAAAACAAGUUCUGCACAGCUAAGUAUGCUAUAUUUGAUGUAGAACCUACAUAACUGGUCAUUAUCCACUAGCUUAUUCUCAAACUUUAAAAUCUACAGCAAUUAUAGCAUACUUAGCUGUGCAGAACUUGUUUUCAUACCUGUAAACCUUCUAACCUACUUGUUGGGGAUGAUCUCCCCCCCCCUUCAUAGGAUAACUCAAAGUCUACCGGAGGCUUCGCACUCGUGUGAUUGCAGGGUUGUUUCAGGGAGUGCAGGCGGAGAUCGCGAAGUGCUUUUGAUCGAAGGCUGAAGGUGUGCCUGCGGUCCCGGCUUUCCGCGUCGUCGAAGGCGGGAGCGGGCCUUCGGUCGAAAGCCGAAGGCUACACCGGCUUUCCGCGUCGGCGAAGGCGGGAGCGGGCCUUCGAUCGGAAGCCGAAGGCUACACCUGUAAUUUUUUUGACCGGAAUGGAUGAAGGUAGCAGUGUGUCUUCGAACUGGGACCGAAGAUCGGCUCGUGGCACCGAAGGGGAGAAGCCUUCGGUGGAAUCCCGGGGACUGAAGAUCAUGACUGGAUGGCGGGGCCCGCUUUAACUGCCCGGAGCAGAGUUGUAAUUAUGUAAAUAUGUUUGAUUGUAUCAUAAUGCCCCCAAAUAUUCCAAGAAUGUAGCAGGUAAGGGGGUAGAAACUGUAAACCCCGCGUGGAGUGGUUGAGUACGGGCUAUAAAUAGGGUCAUACUGUAUCUGAGAGAGGGAUUGAGAAAGUUUACUCCAAGCAUGUAUCACCCCAAGAACCCUUCGACAUCGAAGGUUCACCUUGUUCGGGACUUUGGUUCCAACACUACUAUUCACAUUCCACUUAUCACACGCUGGUGAUAAAAAGAGAAGCACUACCACAAGAUAGUGAUGACACCAAAAGAUUUUAUGAGCAACACUGUCAUAAUUAUAUAAUAUUUAUGUUGGUCUUCUAUGAAACUGUUACUAUGUAUAAUAUAUGUAUGACACUUUUAUUA